CUGGAGAACAGCCCUACCCCAACCCCCUGCCCUUCUCUGCCUGCACCACACUUCCUUCCUCCUCACCCCGCCCUCAGUCACCUGAGAGAUCCCCGAAAUUCCUGCACUUUCCUGGGUGGCUGUGUAGGAGGGUGAAAAAGAAAAGCCAGCACCACUGAUCAAUGCAUUUGGGAAAAGGUGUGAAAUGUGUAACACCUGUGGACAUCUUACCUCCUGGACAGGGUAGGG